GCUGUGACGAGAUAAAGUAUUCAGGAUGGCUCUGACUGCGAAAACCUUAACACUGACCGUUGCAGCGUCUGGUGUGGUGUUGGCAGCAAAAGGUCUUACAAUUUCAACCCCUGCCAUAGCUUUAAUUGCAGUGGCCAUAACUGUGGGAAUAGGAGUGACACUCUAUAAGAGUCGAAUGAAUGACAACAAAAAUAAAUAGAAGAAGUGACACGGACAUCCAUCUCUGAUUCAUCAACUACAUCAACUUA